AUUGAACGCUGGCGGCAGGCCUAACACAUGCAAGUCGAACGAGUGGCGGACGGGUGAGUAAUGUCUGGGAAACUGCCUGAUGGAGGGGGAUACUACUUGGAAACGGUGCCAAAUCCCCCUAACCAUCGAUGUUCCCCAGAUGGGAUUAGCUAGUUGUUGGGGUAACGGCUCACCAAGGCGACGAUCCCUAGCUGGUCUGAGAGGAUGACCAGCCACACUGGAACUGAGACACGGUCCAGACUCCUACGGGAGGCAGCAGUGGGGAAUAUUGCACAAUGGGCGCAAGCCUGAUGCAGCCAUGCCGCGUGUAUGAAGAAGGCCUUCGGGUUGUAAAGUACUUUCAGCGGGGAGGCGUUACCCGCAGAAGAAGCACCGGCUAACUCCGUGCCAGCAGCCGCGGUAAUAC
rnacentral:rRNA from 1 species